UACGUAGGGGCCAAGCGUUGUCCGGAUUUAUUGGGCGUAAAGAGCUCGUAGGCGGUUCGGCAAGUCGACUGUGAAAUCUCCACGCUCAACGUGGAGGGGUCAUUCGAUACUGCCGUGACUUGAGUACGGUAGGGGAGUGUGGAAUUCCCGGUGUAGCGGUGAAAUGCGCAGAGAUCGGGAGGAACACCCGUAGCGAAGGCGGCACUCUGGGCCGAUACUGACGCUGAGGAGCGAAAGCGUGGGGAGCGAACAGG
rnacentral:rRNA from 1 species